rnacentral:tRNA from 1 species
GUAAUUGUAGUUCAAUUGGUUAGAACGUCUAUUUGUGGCAUAGAAGGUUCUCGGUUCGAUCCCGAGCAGAUACCC